AUUGAUUCUUCGGAAUGAGAGAGCGGCGUAUGGUUGCGGAACACGUGUGCAACCUGCCUUUAUCUGGGGGAUAGCCUUUCGAAGAGGAACGAUUAAUACCCCAUAAUAUAUUGACUGGCAUCAGUUGAUAUUGAAAACUCCGGUGGAUAGAGAUGGGCACGCGCAAGAUUAGAUAGUUGGUGAGGUAACGGCUCACCAAGUCUACGAUCUUUAGGGGGCCUGAGAGGGUGAUCCCCCACACUGGUACUGAGACACGGACCAGACUCCUACGGGAGGCAGCAGUGAGGAAUAUUGGACAAUGGGUGAGAGCCUGAUCCAGCCAUCCCGCGUGAAGGACGACGGCCCUAUGGGUUGUAAACUUCUUUUGUAUAGGGAUAAACCUACUCUCGUGAGAGUAGCUGAAGGUACUAUACGAAUAAGCACCGGCUAACUCCGUGCCAGCAGCCGCGGUAAUACGGAGGGUGCAAGCGUUAUCCGGAUUUAUUGGGUUUAAAGGGUCCGUAGGCGGAUCUGUAAGUCAGUGGUGAAAUCUCACAGCUUAACUGUGAAACUGCCAUUGAUACUGCAGGUCUUGAGUGUUGUUGAAGUAGCUGGAAUAAGUAGUGUAGCGGUGAAAUGCAUAGAUAUUACUUAGAACACCAAUUGCGAAGGCAGGUUACUAAGCAACAACUGACGCUGAUGGACGAAGCGUGGGGAGCGAACAGGAUUAGAUACCCUGGUAGUCCACGCCGUAACGAUGCUAACUCGUUU
rnacentral:rRNA from 1 species